CUGAAGCGGGGUUAGCUGCAAAACAAGGAACAGGUUUGAAGACACCUGCAAAAUCACGCCGCUGGACUCCUCACUGCGUCUACAUUAUGGUCAACAGAGAUUGUCAGUCAAUCUGUUAGUCAGUCCAUCACCAUGGAAACAAGGAGCUCAAAGUCCCACCUCCACCUUGAACUCCUCGGUCCCAUCUACAGAACAUCUCACCACUAUCUUCCAGCUGUUAUCCGUGUCUUGAACAACUAACUCGAUCAUAUACUCAGAUGGGUGUUUACUUCAUAAAAUGAUGUUUAAUGUUUCUGAACCCCUUCUGGAAAAGUUUGUAAGACUGCACUACAGAAUUGAUCCUAAACUCCCAUACUUUCUCAUGCUGGCCAUUAAGUAAGCAAGCUUGCACACAUUACUAAAUUAAGAGACUGUAUUGUUAUUUAUACAGUACAGACUUAUACAGUACAGACCAAAAGUUUGGACACACUGUCUCAUUCAAAUGAAUGGAAAGGUGUGUCCAAACAUUUGGUCUGUACUGUAGGUGUGGUAGUAUUUUUUUUUUUUUUCUUUUUUGUUUGGUUGUGAUUGAAUGUUUGAUGAAAAUAAGAAAACGUGCUGUUGUGCUCAGCUUUCCUGAGUAUUUUGUGUAUCUUGUGCUCUCUUCUUUGUUAAUCUGCUUUAUUCGUUAUUUAUUUUCAUAUUUUUAUUUUCUUAACAGUGCUCAUCACAUCAUCCCACUCUGUAGAAUUCCAACUAUUUUAUUUGUGCAUUGUCACUUGUUUUAAAUAAAUACAUAUUAAAACAA